UACGUAGGGGGCUAGCGUUAUCCGGAAUUACUGGGCGUAAAGGGUGCGUAGGUGGUUUCUUAAGUCAGAGGUGAAAGGCUACGGCUCAACCGUAGUAAGCCUUUGAAACUGGGGAACUUGAGUGCAGGAGAGGAGGGUGGAAUUCCUAGUGUAGCGGUGAAAUGCGUAGAUAUUAGGAGGAACACCAGUUGCGAAGGCGGCUCUCUGGACUGUAACUGACACUGAGGCACGAAAGCGUGGGGAGCAAACAGG
rnacentral:rRNA from 1 species